rnacentral:lncRNA from 1 species
GUUGUCCACUUGAGUCAGUUUUCCUGCUCCCCCUGCCAGGCCUCCAGGCUACUUUUCCAUGAUGCUCCUUGUCUCAUUCCAUGAGAGGCCUCACGCUUUUCUGCAGAGAAAGAGAUGAAUCCACCAGCUCCUACAAACAGAACAACAUUUUCCUGCUUCCUUCCUUGCUGGCCACGGCAACAGCUUCUGGCAUCUCCCCGCUUCCCUACUGUCCCCUCUGCAGCACACCUAUCACCAUAUCUGUGCAGCUGGCCGAGCUCUCCGUCCUCAGGUCCCUGUUCACAUGGAGUGUUGAAGGCAUGUUAGACCUAGAAUUUCUAAGAUGUGAAAAAUGUUCCUUAGGACCAGGAAAUGCAGAGGGAACGACUGGCAGAUAAGUGCUUCUAAAAUAUCAAUCUUCUCCUGUUGCUCCUCCAUUUAGAGUUGUUAUGAGGACUCCCCAGUGGGCAACCCUUGGCUUGUUGUGCAGAGACUUCCAGGCCCGGCUUGUCCUUACUUUUUAUCAUCCCCCACCCUGCCAACUCCCUCAAUCCCUGUCCUUCCGCCAUCCCAAACUGCAGUUUCCUGAAUGUUCUCUGGGCCUGUUACCUUCUUUCAAAACCAAGGCUCAUGUCCUCUUUUCUUUACUGUCUUCUCCCUAAGCCCUGUGUUCAACAUCCUCCUCUGAACCGUAGAUUCAGAGCUUUGAUCAGUGGUUACAGAUCCAGUUUUUAUUGGCCUGUGACAUCACAAUGGGUGGAGAUAUUGUCUUAAUCAUCUCUAUUCUUUGGGCCUCACACAAGAUGCGGCCUGGAGUAUGCACAGAAUAAAUACCUGGGGGGAAGUGAGUGAAGUAAACAGUAGCCAGAGCUGAGAAUCCAGCUGGAGAGAUGUCCCACAGCUGGGAUCCAUCACUGCCCUGCAGAGAGAUUGGCACAGGCCCUAUUACACAUGGUACUGUGAGCGCCAGGCCCUGAGGUUCUCAGAAAAGAAGUGUGGGCAGCAGCACUGGGGAGCUACUUCCUGUGAAUUCCACAGCUCAAGGGAAACUUAGCUCCACUAUCCCAUUCAGAGAGAAAGAAGCCAAGGUUCAUUCAGAGCAAAAGACACUUGCUUCAGGUCACUUUGAGAAUUGCUGGCAGAGCUCAAAGAUCAGAUCAUUUAGGUUCCCUGAUUUCCAGUCAGGGACUUUCCAAGAAAAACUCACCAAGCUGGGGCUAACAGACAUUUUGAUGUUUUCCUAUAAAUAAUUUAGGGGAAAGGAAAGGAAAGGAAACAGAAUUUCUCUGCUAAAUAUUGAUGCGAUAGCUGCUACUUAGAGAAGAUUGCAUGUGAUGGUUUCAAUUAGAUUCUCUUUAUGUGCCUUUAGAAGUCGCUUUUAAAAAAUGGACAGGAUUGUAGUGUGUUAUUAACGCUGACAGCUCUUGUGUUCAUGCUGUGCUUCUGACGGAAAGGGGGCGGGGAUCCUGAUCCAUCAACAUAGUCUACGUGGGAAGUGUUGCGCUGAUUUCAGAAGAGACCAGCAGAAACAGCUGUCUCCACAUUUGGGUGGGAAGAUUCUCCUGUGCUUCUGAAGCGGGUAAACACCCACUCCCUCACUUCUUCCUGGGCAUCCCCACCACCUACACCAUGGCAGAAUGGGGUGAGGGUGGAGAGCAAAGAGCUGAAGUCCAAUGCGGCCAGUAGACUCCUACGAUUCCCCAGAAGCUCAUGUGCAGGAAGCACGGGCACAGUGUUGGUGUAGGAGUAGAUAGUGUCUUUAAGAGGCAGGCUUAGGGGAAAGCAAUUAGUUCCUUGGGACUCCAUUGUGAAUGGAUAAAUAUUAGUCUCACAGGAAGGGUUGGGUCUUGCAGGAAUAGAUUAGUUCCCUUAAAUGCAGGCUGUUAGGAAGAGAAGCCACUCACGUGCUUGGUUCCUUCUGCUUGCAGCCAGGUCUCUUUCUGUCUCUCUGCCACAAAGGAUCCCUCAUUGAAUGAGUCCCCUGCUGUUUGCACUUGCCAGCUAUCAGAGUCCUGAACCAGAUAAACUGUUUUUCUUUGUAAAUUACUCAGUAUCUGUUAUUCUACUAUAGCAACAGGAAAUGGACCAGACCAGAGGUGGAUUUUGGCUGGACAAGACCAGCAAAUUCUGUAUCUGGGAAGGAGUUCCAGGCAUCAGGGUAGCCUGGGCUCAGACUGCAAAGAAAAGAAAAGCCAAACUGAAAGCACUGCGUUGAAAGCUUGCUAUGCGAUAGGGGCUUGGAAUAUUACCUAAUUCCUUAUAGCAAUCCUGAAGACUAAGUAUUUUUAUUCUCUGGUGCAGGCAGAAUUUUAAGAUGGCCCCCAAAGCUCUGCUGCUUUGUGCACACAUCUUGUAUGAAAGGUGAAAAUGGUGGAUUUUAUUCUUUUGAUUAUGUAUGUUUUAUAGAACAGGAGGCUUUAAGAAAGGGCUAUGAUCCAAGUGGGUCGGACCUAAUCACACAAACAGGACUAAAGGAAACAAAAGUAACAUGUGGGUUUAGAUGAAAAGACAGAGAAGACAGUCGGGUGUGUGUAAAACCACUGUGAAGGGGACAGGCCUGUGCGGCUGGCAUAGACAGGAGUAUUGAAGAGAAGUCUGGGCACCUCCUUGGCCAGCAGUGCUUUGGCUUGGACACAGCUGAACUAAAUGCACCAAAAUGACCCAAAUUGGAUGUGGUGGUGCCCGCCUGUAAUCCCAGCACUCUGGGAGGUUGAGGUGGGAGGAUUGCAAGUUUGAGCCCAAAGUGGGAACAUUAGCAAGAUCCUCUCUCAAAAUAAACAAAAUUCAAAGAAUAAGAAAGAUAUGGGGAUAUAGCUCAGGGUGAAGACCCUGGGUUCAAGCUCCAGUUUCAGAAAAAAGAAAGGGAGAGGAAAGAGAGAGAGGAGAGAAAGACUCAGAGAGCUUUAAAGAAAAUCCUGACCACCCUAAGACCAGUUUCCCCACCUGUCUGACAGUGGUGCUAAGAGAUCCAACCUUAAAAAUUCCCCAAAUGAUUCCAUACUCAGGGAAUGACUGAGUCUUACGUUCAGCUUCGGGGAAGGGAGGGCAGAAAGUCAGAGUCAGUGUCAGGACCUCUAAGCCGCUGAGGCGCAAGGAGUUCUUCAGGACUCCUGUUGCUCCUGCACUGUCUCUCAGCACUGGACUCUCAGUGAGUCUUGUGAUGUUGUCCCCAAACCUCAAUCGCUGUGCUCACUUUUUGCUACAGAUGAACGGUGCUUACUUACAGUUCUGCACGGGAUCGGGAUCAGAGUGUGGCUCCCAAAUGCCCUGAGGUGCUACCAGUCUGGGACAGCUACACCUGCAUUCUGCUAAGCGGAGGGGCUCAGGGACCGGGAGAGUGACAGACAGCUCUCACUCUCACAAUUGACUCAGCACAGCCACCUGGAGGCCCUGUUAAGACACAGGCUCUGUGACUUACUGAUUUCAUUUCCUUUGGAUUUAUACCCAGGGUGGGAUUUCUGGAUCAGAUGAAAUCCGAAUGUGUACUAUAGCGCUGCUCACAAU